rnacentral:rRNA from 1 species
GUGGGGAAUAUUGGGCAAUGGGGGCAACCCUGACCCAGCGACGCCGCGUGAGGGAAGACGGCCUUCGGGUUGUAAACCUCUUUUGUACGGGAAGAAGGAAGUGACGGUACUGUACGAAUAAGUCCCGGCUAACUACGUGCCAGCAGCCGCGGUAAUACGUAGGGGACGAGCGUUGUCCGGAAUUACUGGGCGUAAAGGGCGCGCAGGCUGUGCUGCAAGUCAGCUGUGAAAUGUCUGGGCUUAACCCGGGCAUGCGGUUGAGACUGCAGUGCUGGAGUGCUGUAGAGGCAAGUGGAAUUCCCAGUGUAGCGGUGAAAUGCGUAGAUAUUGGGAAGAACACCGGUGGCGAAGGCGACUUGCUGGGCAGCAACUGACGCUGAGGCGCGAAAGCCAGGGGAGCAAACGGGAUUAGAAACCCGAGUAGUCC